AUUAGAUACCCUGGGUAGUCCACGCCGUAAACGGUGGAUGCUGGAUGUGGGGCCCUUUUUCCGGGUCCUGUGUCGGAGCUAACGCGUUAAGCAUCCCGCCUGGGGAGUACGGCCGCAAGGCUAAAACUCAAAGAAAUUGACGGGGGCCCGCACAAGCGGCGGAGCAUGCGGAUUAAUUCGAUGCAACGCGAAGAACCUUACCUGGGCUUGACAUGUGCCGGACGCCCGCGGAGACGCGGGUUCCCUUCGGGGCCGGUUCACAGGUGGUGCAUGGUCGUCGUCAGCUCGUGUCGUGAGAUGUUGGGUUAAGUCCCGCAACGAGCGCAACCCUCGCCGCGUGUUGCCAGCGGGUCGUGCCGGGAACUCACGUGGGACCGCCGGGGUUAACUCGGAGGAAGGUGGGGAUGACGUCAGAUCAUCAUGCCCCUUACGUCCAGGGCUUCACGCAUGCUACAAUGGCCGGUACAACGGGGUGCGACACGGUGACGUGGGGCGGAUCCCUGAAAACCGGUCUCAGUUCGGAUCGCAGUCUGCAACUCGACUGCGUGAAGGUGGAGUCGCUAGUAAUCGCGGAUCAGCAUGCCGCGGUGAAUACGUUCCCGGGUCUUGUACACACCGCCCGUCAAACAAUGGGAGUGGUGUUUACCAGAAGUCGUUAGCCUAACCGCAAGGAGGGCGGCGACCACGGUGAGCACCGUGACUAAUGUUAAGUCGUAACAAGGUAAC
rnacentral:rRNA from 1 species